CCUACGGGUGGCAGCAGUGAGGAAUAUUGGACAAUGGACGAGAGUCUGAACCAGCCAAGUAGCGUGAAGGAUGAAUGCCCUAUGGGUUGUAAACUUCUUUUAUAAAGGAAUAAAACGAGGCACGUGGGCCUUUUUGCAUGUACUUUAUGAAUAAGGAUCGGCUAACUCCGGGCCAGCAGCCGCGGUAAUACGGAGGAUCCGAGCGUUAACCGGAUUUAUGGGGUUUAAAGGGAGCGUAGGGGGAUUGUUAAGUCAGUUGGGAAAGUUUGCGGCUCAACCGUAAAAGUGCUGUUGAAACUGGCAGUCUUUAGUCCUGUAGUGGUGGGCGGCAUUCGUGGUGUAGCGGU
rnacentral:rRNA from 1 species